rnacentral:tRNA from 1 species
GCCAUCUUAGCUUAGUCGGCAGAGCAACGGUAUCGUAAACCGUAGGUCCCGAGUUCGAUUCUCGGAGAUGGCU